rnacentral:tRNA from 1 species
GGCUCCAUGGUGUAGUGGUUAGCACAUCUGCUUUACACGCAGAAGGUCCUGGGUUUCUGCCCCAGGUGGAGCUA